UGCUGACCCACCGGCUGGCUAGGUCGCUCUACUGUGGUUCGAGCCUCUCCCCUGAGGGUUCAGUGACAGAAUAACCAGGAAACCCAGAAUGGACUCAGGGCUCAGCUGCAGAAGGACCUGGUUGCCCACUUGCAGACUUGUUCUCGAAUCUGAGCCUUCACAUGGGCACCAGUCCCAUUGUGGGUCUGGGGACCAGCGGAGGGACCACUGCCUCUCAUGUGCCAUGAAUGAGCACCCCACAGUUGGAGCGAAGCUUUCACCCACAGGCUCUACUGGAAAUCUCUCAGUGCACACGGGUCUGCCCGACAUUCAUAUCAAAAAUCCACAGGCUUGAUUUAACUCUCCCUGG
rnacentral:lncRNA from 1 species